rnacentral:rRNA from 1 species
GACGAACGCUGGCGGCGUGCUUAACACAUGCAAGUCGAACGGUAAGGCCCCAGCUUGCUGGGGAACACGAAUGGCGAACGGGAGAGUAACACGAGGGUGACCCGCCCCGCACUUCGGGAUAAGCAAGGGAAACUGGGACUAAUACCGGACACGACCGCACCGUGGGGGUGGGGUGGAAGGUUUUUCGGUGUGGGAUGGGCCCGCGGCCUAUCAGCUUGUUGGUGGGGUAAUGGCCUACCAAGGCGGCGACGGGUAGCCGGCCUGAGAGGGUGGACGGCCACAUUGGGACUGAGACACGGCCCAGACUCCUACGGGAGGCAGCAGUGGGGAAUAUUGCACAAUGGGCGGAAGCCUGAUGCAGCGACGCCGCGUGGGGGAUGACGGCCUUCGGGUUGUAAACUCCUUUCACCAUCGACGAAGGUUUUCUGACGGUAGAUGGAGAAGAAGCACCGGCUAACUACGUG